UACAGAGGGGGCAAGCGUUGUUCGGAAUUACUGGGCGUAAAGGGCGCGUAGGCGGCCGCCUAAGUCAGACGUGAAAUCCCUCGGCUCAACCGGGGAACUGCGUCUGAUACUGGGUGGCUUGAAUCCGGGAGAGGGAUGCGGAAUUCAUGGUGUAGCAGUGAAAUGCGUAGAGAUCAUGAGGAAGACCAGUGGCGAAGGCGGGUCUCUGGACAGUUCCUGACACUGAGGCACGAAGGCCAGGGGAGCAAACGGG
rnacentral:rRNA from 1 species